AAACCAUGGUGAGGGCAUGAUCUAACAUACUCCUUGAAUCACUCCCAUGCCUCACUCAAAGUCUCAUCCUCUUCUUGAGUAAAAUUUGUGAUCUUCCGCCUCAAUUC
rfam:Spinacia oleracea cultivar SynViroflay scaffold47252.con0001.1, whole genome shotgun sequence.